UUAAAAACCAAAAGAGUCCUCACAAGAUUUGCCAAACGAUUCUGUCAGGAUUUUCUAAAUGAUUCUUCCAAGGUUUGCAAAAGGAUCGUCCGAGGAUUUUCAAAAGGUUCCUCCCAGGAGUUACGAAAGGAUCUUCCCAGGAAUCGCGAGCUGAAUUGCGACAGAAUUCUCUCAGGAUUUGCGAUAGGAUUCUUCCAAGAUUUCUCGAAAGGAUACUCUCAGGAUUCGCAAGAAAAUUCCUCCAUCCUUCCAAAGAUUCUCCCAGGAUUUGUCAAAGGAUUCUCCCCAGAUACGCGGAAGGAUCCUCCCAUGAUUCGCAAAAGUAUCCUUUCAAGAUUCGCGAACCCAGGAUUCGUGAAAGGAGUAUUCCAGGAUUCGCGAGAGGAUCCUCUCAGGUUUCGCGAAACGAUCCUUCCAAGAUUCGCGAUCCUCCCAUGAAUUUCGAAAGGAUCUUCCCAAUAUUCUCGAAAGGAUUCUUCCAGGAAUCGCAAAGUGAUCCUCCAGGAUGCGCGAAAAAAUUCUCCCAAGAUUUCUCGAAAGGAUACUCUCUGGAUUCACAAAAAGAUCCUCUCAGGAUUGUUGAAAGAUUAGAGAUUUGCGAAAGAAUUCUCCAAGGAUUCGCGAAAGGAUCCUCCCAGGAAUUGUGAAAGGAUUCUCCCAGAGUUUACGAUAGGAUUCUCUCUGGAUUUUGGAAGGAUUCUUCAAAACUUCGCGAAAGGAUCUUCCCAGGAUUCGUGAAAGGAUACUUCCAAGAUUCGCGAAAGAAGCCUUUCAGGAUUUGCGUAGGGAUUUUCCCAGGAUUCAUGAGCCGAUCCUUUCAGGAUUUGCGAGCCGAUCCUCCCAGGAUGUGCGAAAGGAUUCUCCCAGGUAUUGCGAAGGAAAUUUCCUAGGAUUUGCGAUAAAAUGCUCCCAAGAUUUCGCAAAAAGAAUCGCAAAACGAUUCUUCAAUAUUCAAAAAAGGAUUCGCUAAAGGAUUCUCAAAAGGAUCCUCCCAGGAUUCGCGAAAGGAUUUUCCCUGGAAUCGCAAAAAGAUUCUCUUAGUAUUUGCGGAAGGGUCCUCCCAAGAUUCGUAAAACGCUUCUCCCAUGACUCCCGAAAGAAUCGUUCUAGGAUUCGCAAAAGGAGCCUCUUAGGAAUUGCGACAGAAUCCUUCCAGUAUCGCAAGAGGAUCCUCACAGGAAUCGGUAAAAGAUUCCCCUAGGAUUUGCCAAAGAGUUUUCCCAGGAUACGCGGAAGGACCCUUGCAUGAUUCGCGAAAGUAUCCUUCCAAGAUUCGCGAAAGAGGUUUCCCAGGAUUCGCGAGAGAAUACUCUCAGGGUUCGCGAAAUAAUUAUCCUAGGGUUUGCAAAACGAUUCUCUCUGGAUUCGUGAAGGAUCUUAUCAAGAUUCAGGGAAGGUUUUUCCCAGCAUGUGCAAAAGGAUUCUCCCAGGAUUCAAUCCUUCCAGGCUUCGCAAAAGGAUCCUUCCAAGAUUUGCGGAACGAUAGCUCUGGAUUCGCGAAAGGAUUCGUGGAAGAAUACUUCCAACAUUCGCGAAUUAAUCCUUCUAGGAUUCGCGAAAAAAUCUCCAAGGAAUCGCCAGGAUUUGUGAGAGGAUCCUCCAAGGAUUCGCAAAAUUUUACUCCAAGGGUUCGCUAAAGAAAAUAUAUUCCCAGGAUUCGCGAAAGGAUCCUCACUGGAUUCGUAAAAGGAUUCGCAAAAGCCUUCUUCCAUCAAAUAGAUUUUCUCAGAAUUAACAAAAUAAUUCUCCCAGUAUUCGGUGAAGGAUUCUCGAAAGAAUCCUUCCAAGAUUCGCGAAAUAAUUGUCCCAAGAUUCGUGAAAGGGAUUUUGCCAAGAUUUGUGAGAAAAUCCUCCCAGGAUUCGCAAAAUUUUACUCCAAGGAUUCGCUAAAGAAAGGAUCUUCUCAGGAUUCGCGAAAGGAUUCUCUGAGAAUUCGCAGAAAGCUUCGCCCAAGAUUCGCGAAAGGGUUCUCCAACGAUUCUUGAAAGUAUACUUCCAGGAAUCGCAAGAGGAUCCUCCCAGGAAUCGCGAAAGGAUCUUUUCAGUAUUUGCAAAAGUAUCCUCCCAGGAAUCGCAAAAGGAUUCCCCCAGGAUUUGCCAAAGAAUCCUCCCAGGAUUCAUGAAAGGAUCCUUCCAUGAUUCGCAAAAGUAUCUUUCCAAGAUUCGCGAAAGAAUACUCCCAGGAUUCGUGGAAGUGUUUUCUCAGGAUUUGCGAAAGGAUUCUCCCAGGGUUCGUAAAAGGAUCUUCCCAGGAUUCGUGAAGAUUCUUGAAAGGAUACUGUCAGGAUUCGCGAUAGGAUCCUCCCAAGUUCCGCGCAAGGAUUCUUCCAGAAUUUUCGAAAGGAUACUUUAAAGAUUUGCGAUAGGAUUCGCGAAAGAUUUCUCCCAAUGUUCCCAAUGAGAAUUCAUUUAUUAAUUUGAUACCAGCAGAACAACUUUUGGGAAUUCUGGGUAGAAUCCUUAGAGAAUCUUUUUCUUUUCAUUGGCAUUACAUACCCCAAUGGGACAUUAUCACUUUUCAGCUUAAUAGUUAUUUCAUCCAUUUCACAGUUAUUAUAUUAUAUUACAGUUGUUAUCUGCGAGGUUUGUCAGCCAAGUUACCAUGCUGGUUAAGAUAAACGCAAUGUUCAGGGAAUCCUAGACUAGACCGGUAAUCGAUCGCAUGGCUAAGGAAGGCCCCUCGUAUACAAUACAGAAUACCUGCAGAAAACCCGAAGAGACUUCGUCCAUCAUUUCCCUGAGUACUCUGCAAAUGACAACUAGUUCAGAAAUUAAGCGAGUAGUAUACGAGUAGCAGCAGUUUUAGUGCCGGUGAAGAGGGAAGCAAAGCGAUGAAAGCCAAACGGAUGAAGCAAGGUCGCUGGGGUUAAACCGUGAAUAAGACGUUGGUCCAUGAAGCUGGCUACACCUACUUGAGGCAACGCUGAGGUGUUGUAUGGAUACUUACUGCGGAUAACAAAACCCCAGCUGAUUAUCUUUGGGAUGUGUGUGGGAGUCAUCUGGCAGCAUAAAUAACUAAGUGUGCUAAGGCACAUUUGAAAAACCCUUGAGGACAAGGAUAACAAAUCCUUGAUAGCAACACCGUAUAUGGGGCAUUACGCCAGAACAUUUCAGUAUCGUGAAACCGUGGCGGAAAAAUCGACGCAUUGCAACCGAUGAUCAUCUUCAUCAACACCGCAGGAUUGGCCAUCACGAUGUAUCUCCAUAUCAAAAUUAUUGAUAAUUACGUGCUCCCGGAAUAUUGGUAAUCAUUGCUUCUGGAACUUCGUUGUUACCUUUCCUUAAACAGUGAUGAAAAGUAAGAAUCUCUAGUGUAUGCUGGCCGGACACACCGGUAUCAAAAUCGUUCAGAAGAUUGCUAUGGAAAUUAUCGAACACGCAUCAGUCGCACAUUAAGACAUUGAACAUGAUUGUGUUUAAAGUCGUAAACAGAUGGAUGGUGUGAGGGCGUUAUACAUUAGGAGUAGAAUCAGCCGUACUUCUUCGAACACUUCUGGAACGACGGGAUGAUGCUGGAUAGACGCAUUUACAUAUAAGCAGUUAGUGAACACGACGGUAGCAAUUGCUGUAUCGGAGAUCACCAUGGUUCAAUAACCAAUAAAAAGUCCAGCAAAAAUGAAUCGAUCUGGUGGUUCAAAUUACCCAUCCUGGUCCGGACCAUGUGUUACCGCCCGAGCGGAUGCGAAUCUGCUUCAAAUUCCUGGUAGUGCUGAAGGCUCACACAGCCAUCCGACGAUCAACUGUCAAUACAUGGCGUGCUGGCAAUACUUCUCUAUAAUUUGAAACCACAGUAGUUUCUGUGUGUACCACGGAUGCCAUUGCCAGAACCGCAAAAAUCGAUGACUGGAGUUCCAUUACAUCAACCAAAAAAUGGCCGUUAUGAUUCGGCAUUUUUUACUGGUCGGCCCGAAUCGCUGUCAUCCUCCUUAUACAUUGGUGGGAUAGGACAUCUGAUACAUCUACGCCGUGUGCUCAUUGAUUAAUCAUGUCUGGCAUCCUGCUGUUAAUUUCGUAUGGCAUCGGUUUAAAAGUCCUUUUGGUAUCCAAUCGAAAUACCAUCUAGAAUACUUUCAAGGUUUAAUUUUUUGAUAAUUGCAUCUGGAUCAAUUUCGAUAUUUUUCUGGCAUUUAAGAAAGAUUUUUUCUUGAUAUCUUUUUGGAAUUUCUUCUGGAACUUUAUUAGGAUUCCUUCUGAAAUCCUUUCUUCCAGGUCAUUCUCCUGUGUGUUCUCUGAAUUUCUGUUAGAAUGCUUUCAAGAUGUCGCUCGGUAAUUUUUCGAGGUUACGUUUAGAAUCCCUUCGGGAUCUCAUCUGGCAUUCUUUCAAGAUUCUUCCUAGAAUAAUUUCAAAAUUGCUUAUGGUAUAGUUCUUGGGAGUUCUCCUAGAAUGUUUUCUGAAUUCCAUUUGGAAUCCUUUUAGGAUUAUUCUUGAAAUGCUUUCGGAUUCUUUCAGGAUUCAUUUUGCAAUUAAGUACGGCAUGGUAAGACGCGCGGCUACAAAGCAGAACCAUGCUGAGGGUGGCUGGGUUCGAUUCCCGGUGCCGGUUUAAGCAAUUUUCGGAUUGGAAAUUGUCUCGACUUCCCUGAGUAUAAAAGUAUCAUCAUCAUACCUCAUGAUAUACGAAAGCAAAAAUGGUAACCUGGCUUAGAAACCUCACAGUUAAUAACUGUGGAAGUGCUUAAUGAACACUAAGCUGCGAGGCAGCUCUGUACCAGUGUGGGGAAUGCCAAUAAUAAGAAGAAGAAGAAGACGACAAAAAUACAUCUUUUUUGUUACCUUAGAUUUCAAUGUAGAUUACUUCCAGAAUCUGAUGAUGAUUUCAUCGAUAAUAUUGUGACCGUUCUUAAUAGCAUUCUGGUUGAAUUGAUCCCGGAAAUUCGGAGUUUUAUCAGAAAUCCAGUGCGGAAUCAUUCGGGUUGAUUCCAUAUGGAAUCCUUUUGGAUUCCUUCGAGAAUGUUGUUUGUAUUUCUUUUGGAAUCAUUUGCGAUCAAGCGAUUUGUUCGGAAUCGAGGUUACGAUAAAGGAACGAUUUUUCGGGAAACACGUUAAUAUUUCUUGUGGAAUACUCUAGGGAUACCUUUUGGUAAUCCAAUAGAGAUUUCCCUUUUUUUCGGGAAUCCAGUAGGAAUUUUUAUGUGCGGGGAUCGGUUUUGAAUUAUUAGGAAAAUCCAGUGCAAUUUUUUUCGCGAAUCAAGAAGCCACUCCUUCGAUAGUUUAGCUCUAUUACGAAUUCAAGGGCAUGUUCUUUGGGGAAUUCCUUCACAUCUACAAAAGGGAUUUUCUCUGGAAAAAAAGCGCUGAUUUCUUAGAGAAUCUCUCGGAAAUCCAGUGCGUACAUUAGUAACUCCUUUGUAAAUGAGAUUUUCUAGAGUAUCUACAUAGUAUUGGAAAUCUCAAAUGAAACAGAAAUUUCAAUUCAGCAAGGAUUCCUUCUGAGCUUUUGUAAUUGACCAGAUAAUCCAGAUUUUUCGAGAAUCCAGUAGUAUUCCUAUGCAAAUGCGUUAAAGAUUCUUCCUGGAAUUAGCGUAAAAUUUUCAAAAAUUCAGUGCCCCCCAUGUAUUCUUCGGGCACCAAGAUAGAGUCACUGUGAUGUGAUUUCCAGAAGAUAUUGAUUCCAUAUAAGUUUAGCUAUAUGCUUUUUUCUCUUGCGCGCAUGGAUUGAUUAAUUGUCGAUAUUUUUUUGUUAAGAAUUUAAUAAAGAAGCAAUUUUGUUUUACUCUUAUUCAAAUUCAAAAAUUAUGUUAUUGAAAAUGUAAACAAAAUGAAAGAAGAACGCAAUAACGGAAGAAAAAAGAAGAAGCAAUGGGGGUACUAACAUCUAGGAGAUAUCUAGAAGACUCUAGGUACUCGAGUCUAGGAGACAACGAGGUAAUAUCUACUAGAUCACAUCUGUCAAAUUCAAUCGGUUCUAACCGGUUUGUUAAUUCAUCCAGCGGUUUGUUCAUUCAUUCAUCCUGGUAGAAACGGUUGUUGCAUUUGAGGCGGAUUUGAGGUGUGACAGGUGCUAGACAUCGAAGGAAAAUAUCUAGGAGACUAAUUUUUUUGUCUCAGAGAUAUCACGGUAGAAGUCUAGAAGAUCUUUCCG